rnacentral:lncRNA from 1 species
GCCCAUUCCUCUAUUUUUUUUUAAAGAAUAUUCCUGUUCAUUGGGCUAUCAAACUACCUUGAUUUACUUUAGUCCAUCAUGUUUCCUUGAGUUUCUUAGGUCAUCCAUCUUCAUGGAUAUUUUUAAUUCAUUCCCUUUCCUACAGUUUGUUUAGGCCAACAAAGUUCCCUCAAUUCUUUGAGGGCAUACACCUUCCUAGGGAUUACUUAGCAAACUCCCACCUCCUUUAGUGUAGUAGGGCAUCCCUAUCCAGUCGUUUCUUUAGCGCAACUCCAUUUCUUGAUUUUUUUUUUUUAGCACAACCACUUUUUUUGGGAUUGGCAAUCGUCCUUAGUAGAGUUUGUUUGUGGCGUGCCCUUUCUUUGAAUCUUAUUAGUGAAUCCGCCUUCUUAAAGUACAUUUACGAUUUUGUUCAUCCAUUGGUUUUUUAAGGGCAUCCCGCUUGCUUGAAUUUUCUUAGUGCGUCCCCCUUCCUUGACUUUGUUGAGAGAACUCCCC